CCUACGGGGGGCUGCAGUGGGGAAUAUUGGACAAUGGGGGGAACCCUGAUCCAGCCAUGCCGCGUGUGUGAAGAAGGCCUUAUGGUUGUAAAGCACUUUAAGCGAGGAGGAGGCUACUGAGACUAAUACUCUUGGAUAGUGGACGUUACUCGCAGAAUAAGCACCGGCUAACUCUGUGCCAGCAGCCGCGGUAAUACAGAGGGUGCGAGCGUUAAUCGGAUUUACUGGGCGUAAAGCGGGCGUAGGCGGCUUUUUAAGUUGGAUGUGAGAUCCCCGAGCUUAAAUUGGGAAUUGCAUUGGAGACUGGGAAGCUAGAGUAUGGGAGAGGGUGGUAGAAUUCCAGGUGUAGCGGUGAAAUGCGUAGAGAUCUGGAGGAAUACCGAUGGCGAAGGCAGCCAUCUGGCCUAAUACUGACGCUGAGGUACGAAAGCAUGGGGAGCAAACAGGAUUAGAUACCCGGGUAGUCGU
rnacentral:rRNA from 1 species